AAUCCACAUCUUUGUAAAAUCUUUUUAUGUAAUAGGAUACAAAGCCUUUUACUUGUGCUCAAUGGGGGUGUAAACGAGCCGAGCCAAACCGAGUCAGUCAAGGCUCGAGCUCGGGCUCGAACAGAAACAAGCCGAGCCUCGGCUCGAAAAAAAUCAAACGAGCUGAAUGUAUAGGCUCAAGCUCGGCUCGAAAAUCUCGAGCCAGCUCGUUAAGCUAGCUCGCAAAAAUUGUAUUUUGUUUACUUUAAACCAAUUAACCACCCAACCAAAAUGGCCUAUGGGUAUAAAAGGUUUAAAUCACCAAAAGGCUCAACUUGGACUAGUAAUUUUUAACUCAAGGGGUUCUUCAUUUAUAGAUAGUCUCCCCUCUAUAUUCUUGUUUCUAAUAGCAAUGUGGGACAAAGUUUUAAUCAAAUCCUCCCUUUUAUUUUAUAGCUAAUCCAACCUUUUCAUAUAUUAAUUCAAGGUCGAUGUGGGACUCCUUUUUUAAACCAAACCUGCAUAUUAAUUUGUUGCAUAUCCAUGGAUGUAUAGUUUUGAACUUUCUUAUGUUUAGCUAAAUGCAAGCUGAGACUUGUUAGUAUCAAAAUUUUCACAUAACUCAUUUAGGAGUAUAUCAAUGAGGCAAAUAAAGCUUAAAAGCUAUUAAUAUGGAAAAAUAUGGUCUAUGAAUGGGUGAAUGCUACUACAAAGAUAAAUGAUGUGGUGUUUUGUCAAGCCGAUUCAAUCUGAGAGCCUCUGCUCUCAAUGAAGGUUCUAGUUUCAAGAAAGUGUUGUUUUUGAAACCGUCCACAACUGGCUAUUUAGUUAGUUUGGAGCAAAAUGAUGUUGGUUUUAACAUGGAGAUUGCUGGUAAUGACAUGUUUGCUACCGAUAACUCUUGCAUAACUGGACCAAGUGAAAACUACCCCAAAACGGCUGUUGAAUUACCCGUUGCUAAGAUUUCUCUACACAGUUUUAUGGAGUGGGGACUAGCUAAAUCACAUCAGAUCUAGAUGAAGAUAAUAAAUGGUUCGUUGAAGAAGCUUUGAAAGAAUCUUUACUCAAAGAUAUGGAGAAGUUUUUUGAAAAAAUUGACUGGGAAAAACUGCUUUUCAUGAUGCCCUGCUACCAGCCUAGGCACCAGUUAAGCGUUGGAAUGAAAGUUUGUUUGCCGUUUCUCUUAUUUUUGUUGAAGUAUUAUCAAGUCUCUUCAAUGAGGGCAGCAGAGAAGAAAGCGGCUGAGGAGAAGAAGAAGAUGAUGAAAGAGUAAAUAGCUAGUUGGCAGUAAGAAAUAGUUUGUCAUAGUUUGAAACAAUGUUGGUAUGGACAAAACGGAUGCUAAUAUAGUAAGUAGUAUUAUACUAAAUAGUAUAAUUGAAAGAAUAAAAAGCUCUUGGAUCUAGGUGCUAAUCUGAUAUUAAUGUUUUCAUUUAAAGUGUUUAGUGUUUUUUAAUCAUUUUCAUAAA